GACAGAGGCCUCGAGCGUUAGGCGGAAUCACUGGGCUUAAAGCGCGUGUAGGCGGACCGUUAAGUACCUUGUGAAAUCCCACGGCUCAACCGUGGAACUGCUGGGUAUACUGGCGGUCUUGGGCCAUCCAGGGGUCGCCGGAACAAGCGGUGGAGCGGUGAAAUGCGUAGAGAUCGGAAAGAACACCAACGGCGAAAGCACUCUGCUGGGCCGACACUGACACUGAGAGACGAAAGCUAGGGGAGCGAAUGGG
rnacentral:rRNA from 1 species